rnacentral:rRNA from 1 species
CCUACGAGGGGCAGCAGUGUGGAAUAUUGGUCAAUGGGCGCGAGCCUGAACCAGCCAAGUAGCGUGAAGGAUGACUGCCCUACGGGUUGUACACUUCUUUUAUAAAGGAUUAAAGUGAGGAACGUGUGCCUUUUUGUAUGUACUUUAUGAAUAAGGCUCGGCUAACUCCGUGCCAGCAGCCGCGGUAAUACGGAGGAUCCGUGCGUUAUCCGGAUUUAUUGGGUUUAAAGGAAGCGUAGAUGGGUUGUUAAGUCAGUUGUGAAUGUUUGCGGCGCAACCGUAAAAUUGCAAUUGAUACUGGCAGUCUUGAGUACAGUUGAGGUAGGCGGAAUUCGUGGUGUAGCGGUGAAAUGCUUAGAUAUCACGAAGAACUCCGAUUGCGAAGGCAGCUUACUAAACUGCCACUGACAUUGAUGCUCGAAAGUGUGGGUAUCAAACAGGAUUAGAUACCCGUGUAGUC